GUUUUCGCAGGACCAGAGAAGAGGCGGGGGAGCCGCCGAAGCCGCUGUCCGAACACAGCGACUCCUCGUCUGGGUUGGAGCUGCACGACAGUCCGCUAACGCUCCUCUUCUCGCCGGUUUGGCGGAUACGAGAUAGACUCCUGCCCCGACCUGCACUCCCCCCUCUGAUCAACUGAGGAAUGGGCUCUCUGGACCGCGAACGUCCCCUUUCAUUCAAAGCCGGUGAUGCCAACAUGUCCCUCCUGACCUUCCUUUGGCUAAUGAAAACAAAUGCACACAUUUUAGCAGCCAGGAUUUUGAACUCAGGUAAGGAAGGAAAAUAUGUCAAUCCGAUAUUCUAGAAACCUAUACAAUGGACACACCAAGGCCUCACAUGGACGUACAAGAAUGAUGGCUGAUGAAGGAUGGUUUGAGGGAAAUGGCGCAAGAAAGCAACUAAGAGUUUAAAAGGAAGCUUAUACUGCACACCUUUCAAUGAAAACCAUAUUUCUGCUCACAGAAAGGCCCAAGCUUGUGAGGAAAAAUAAAAAUAAACCAGUAAUUACAGAGAACAUUUAUUAGAAAGGUCAAUGUAAUAGUAAAGUAAAAUAAAUUGUUACUUCUUCAGUUCUGCUUCUCUUUGGCGUCGUUGCCUCUCUUGAAUGUAUGCUGUUGGGUCAAACCGCCCCCGAGACCCUAAAACCUCUAGAGAAGCCAAAUGUAAACAGACAUACCUGUUGGAGAUGGAGAGGGUCUUGAUAUGUAAUUCCGUGCUCCUGAAGAGUCUGCCCUUCUCCCUCUCUCCUCUGACCUCCUGCUCCUAUCCUCCACCCUCUCUCUGGACCCUGAGCGAGCCCUCGCCCCAACUCGAGUUAAACUGCGCUCCCUGGAGGCCGAUCGGUGAAAUUCCCCUUCACCCCUAGACCCACUCCGGCCUGACAAAACCGGAGUCAUCCUGCUACAAACACGAGGCUGCUCCUCCAGGCUGCGCACUGCUUCUCUGAGCCCGCGAGCCCCAGGGGCAGAGCCAGCCUCAACCAUCUGCAGCUGCUCCAGAGCUUUGGCCAGUGCAUCUUUCUCCUCCCUGACCAGAGCCAACCUGAUGUGGCGUAGUUCAGCACAUAUGGUCAGCACAGAAUAAUUAGUCUUGUUGGUCAGACUUCUUUAUCUUGCCUGACCUAUUUUAGUUUCUUGAUUGUUAUCCUGUUGUUAAACUGACAAAUACCAGCAGAACAUAACAAAAAAUAAAUAGGCCAUGCUAAAGAUUAACAGCAUAACUUACUCCGCACGUAGUCUGCGGGUCUCUUGGUCUGAUACUAUGUGGUCUCCUCUCUUCCCCAAGGCAUUCAGUUCAGCCCUUAGAGCUCUGAUCUCUCUUUGGAGCGCUGCAGGAUCAGGCUUUCCAAGAUACGGCAGUGGUAGAGGGUAGUGUAUCCUAGUGCAGUUCAACACCAAGAAAGAACAAGAAUGGCAUUUAAAAAAUGACAAAUUUCAUUUCAAAAGUAACCAGAAAAUGACUGUGUGAAACGGUACUGACCUAUCAAAUUCCACAGUGUAGAUUAGAAUGAGGUAGCGUUUAGCACUGAGAGCAGGAGACUGCUGCUGGGCACGAGGCCGGCCAACUACACCCGCCUUCCUGUUCCGCAGAAGUUCCAGGUCCGAGUAGGUCAGCAGGUCAAGCGUCACUGACUCACUAGACUAGAUGUUUUAAAGACCAUUACAGUCAUUCACAACUGACAUAACAUAAUGAGUACAAUCUGUGUGAACGAUCAGAGUGAACUUCAGCCAACCUACCCUACUAACAGCAGACUCAAGCAUGCUGCAGAAUAUAGGAAACUGUUUGAAAUUCCCAGUUUUACGGGUGAGGUCUUCAAUAUCUAAAGAACAAGAAGAAAAAGGUUUUCAGAAAGUUCCAGGUGCAUCACUGCAUCAGCAUCUUUGGAUGAGCAUACUCACAGGCAGGAUCAAACUCUCCUCUCCACUGGUCUGCCGUCAUCACAUCAGAAAUCUCUACUAUAAGUAAUCGAUCUUGCAAUUCCACUUUUACAGCAAAUUCAACUCCACGAAAUUUCAUUUCUUCUUGCACAACUGUGCCAACUUCCAUGGCUGGAGGAAGUUAUUCCUAUGACCUGAGAAACAUUAUAGUUUAAGAAUAAUAAGCAUUUUUUUGCCAUCAACAAAGUAGUCAAGUGACUAGAUCAGUUAUGUACUUCAUAUAAUCUGAGAUUACAAGACUGAGAUGGAAUGUUGGUCAAACACAGUUCUGAAGUUAGUCGACAGAGCAGAGCAGGCCAGUUCAGAAAACGGCAAACAAGACAAUACAUUAAAAGGGACUUGCUUUGCUAACCCACACAAUAAGUCCAGAGCCACUGUAGCUACGCAUUUUAAUCUGGUAUCUCAGUUACGUACCUAACUCUAUUCUAACUAACUAACUUACUAGCUAACUCACUGAACGAAAUUUCGCAGUUGGGAGGGCUAGUAUCCCUUCCAUCACUCACGGCCAAUUGCAUUUAAACUCGUUUGGGAUGCAAGCUAGUGUGAAAACUGAAUAGCCAGCUAAUGUUUACAAUGUUAGCCACAGUUAAAAGUUAAUUCGCUAGGCUACAUAACAGACAAAUGUGCCUAACGUUAACUUAGGCUUGCUAAAGCGUUAAUAUUAGCUAAUGUCAGCAAGCCAUCAACAUGAACCGGCUAAACCGCUGUUUGUCUUUCAAAUCGGAAGUAACGUUAAGCAUGAAUAACGCAAUUCUUUUCCAACUUACGAGGACCAACGACUUAGCUAGUUAGUUAGCUACAUAAUGUUACACAGCAGUUUCUGGGCGAGCUGGCUAGCUAAAUUGCGGUAGAUAAUGUAGGUUAGUUGAAGUGUGGGGGGGUGACGUUAACUGUUAACUACUCAACCAAGGUUAGCUAGCUAGCUAUGUAGUUAGCCAGCUUAGCGUUGAUUUGACAAAACCAUCUAUAACGUUAACGUGAGCUGACAAAGCUAACAGAAAAGGCAGAGGCGAGCUAACCGGCUGGCUAGCUAAAAUACAUACCCGUCAGAGAUGGAGGUGGUGAGUGUAGUUAAGCCAGGAGCAGAGUAAUAUAAAUCCUACAUUUAAACACGUUCAUUAAAAAAACACACAAGGACAAAAAGGAAACAGUGAAUUCAAAACAAACGCGACAUGUGUUUGGGUACUAUCGACUUUUAGCAAUCCUUCUUCUGCACAACGUCAGUUGCAGGAGCCCAAACAAUUGAAAA